AAUACCCCAAUAUGAUUUCAGGUUCUCCUCUUCGAGCGUCUUCUCCUUCUCACACCACAGAGCACUCUUCUCCUUCUCUUCCAUCCUUCCUCCAGUUUUUUUCUUGUUGGAUCAAUUGAAGUGGCUGUACUCGCAACUAUUAUGCCAGAGGAGCCUGGGAGCUUUAAACAUUAUUGUGAAUUGGUAUUCUAAUGGUGCCUUUGUCAACUGUUUUUUUCUUUUUCGCUUUCCAGCUAAAGUGUUCUUCAUGAUGUGAACUGAAUCACUUUGGUUGACAGCUUCUGAACUUAAAGAAAUGCAAGACUUGCAGUCUCACAAAAAGUGACUUGGUUAAAGAUCACUUGCAAUAGGGUGAAACUGGGGCAAAUGUGUUGGUUGGAAUCCAAGUUGCCCGAGGCGAGAUUGAUGAGUUUCAAGCUUGUGGGAGUUCUCUUGGAUAUGACUAUGUAGUGGUGACCGAUGACAACGAGUUCAAUCUUUUAUUGCAUUGAGACUUUCACAUUGCUAUGAAGGGGAAGCUUGUGCCUCCUGAUCACGUUUUAAGGAGCAGAGAAGGGAGACACUGUCUUAUAUGUUUGAUAGUUUAUUAUUGUAUCUUACGAGUAGAAAAAAAUUCAUGACUCAUUAGCAAGUAGAAAAAGAAAGAAAAAAAGUAUUGAAGGCAAUAAGAGAAUGUGACUUUUACUAUUGGAAGGAAGUGGAGCAUUUCAUUGUCUUCUCUUUUAGCUUGAAAUCUCAUUUCGUUCAUGGUUAUAUUUUUAUGUACUAUUUAUUAUUGAUAGCACCGAAAUAUUGCAAUGAUUUAACAAUUUUAAGGUAAUACUUUA